AACAAACCACGCUCGGCCCGACGGCCCCUUCCCAAGCCUGACCGGCGGCAUGGCAGCUCUAACCGGUGGAUCGAUGGAGAGAGAAGACCCUUGAUUGAUUCGAGGACCCUGUCCAACUAGUCGGCGGAUCAGUCGCGUUGGGAUCGACGCUCCCAGACUUCCAAGACUUACUUCAAGACUGUACCGCCAAGAUGCCUCAGGGGUCAUGGCCGAUUGAGGGGUGUACGACGAUGCGCCACUCGCGCUGGGGUUGUUCUGAAAUUUAAUUUGCCCAUUGAGGUCCACGCUAAGCAAGAUAUAUAUACCAGGGCCAUGUUCGAGCAGUUUGGGGCUUCACUAUGUGACUCUAGGCAGUACCUGCUGGAGGAGGUAAAAGACGGGGAAUUGUUCAUCGCAAGGCACUCUAGGGCUACUGAGAAGGAGAAAUGGUGCAAGGUGAUGUUCCAGGUGAGAGUUCACAAGGCAACGGAUUUGUUCGAAUGUGAGUGCGGAUUCUUCGAGCAUUCUGGGUUUCUGUGUGGGCACGCUCUGAAGGUGGGUGUGACUCGCGAGGGGGUUACGGGUGGUUGAAGGCAUUCGUACCAAGCCUAGGUGCCAGCUGGUAGCCGAAUGGGAGAUGUGUGGCGGAAGGUUGCGACAAAUGUGGAUGAGGCCUACCGGCCCAAGAGAGAGAAGACUAAAACAUGGGCGUGACCCGUGAGGGGGUUAUGGGUGGUUGAAGGCUUUCGUACCAAGCCUAGGCGCCAGCUGGUCACUGAAUAGCAGAUGUGCGGCCCAAGGUUGCGACAAUGCGGUCUACUGGGUCUGUCAGCCACACCUUCCAUAUCCCCCAGCCCGAUCAGAGAAGCUGUGUUGCUGGAAAAUAACCCACGGUAGGUUCUUGUCCUCCUGAUCCCAUGACAAUGAGAUCUGCUUCCUUAUCACUAUCGAGGCAAGGUUGCGACGCGGCAUGCAUGCCAGAUCAGAGGCGCAUUUCUUAAAUGGAGCAUCAAUCACAAGUACACGGAGCAAUUGGAGCAGUAGCAAAGUAGCGGCCGGCGCGUUAGCAUGAGUAGGAGGAAGGCCACAAUACCGGUGGGGUGAAGGCCUAGAGGCGCAGCAGCAUGUCUGGGCAGCGCCGGUCCAUCUCAUCAGUGGCCAUGGCUGGGUGCGGCAGGUUUAGAUCGGGUAUCCACGGGUGCCUUUACAUGUCGUUAAGAUUGCACCUUUAGGGUUACCUUUCUCCCCCACUUUUGAGUUGAGUCUAUUCUUUCUCGAUCUCCAUUAGCCCCAAGUUCCAAAGCUCAAAUAACUUCUCAUCCCUUCUCAAAUCAAACCAAUUCUUUGAGGGAAAAUUGAGAGGAGUCUUAGAUCCACAAUCUUCCACAAGAAGGAUUCAUUCCUCUUUGAAUUUCAUCACUUGAUUAGUUACUCUUGGAGUUGUGGGGACUCCUAGACGCUUGGAGUCCGUCCUGUGAGCUUCCAAAGCAGGUGUGGAUUCGCUCCGGAUCAAGUUUGUGAGGGUUUGGAGGCCACCUCAAGACCCACCACUAGUGAAGUGAGCUACUAUUUCAUUUGGGGAGCUCAAGGAAACUGAAGGUGAGACUUCGUGGCGUUGGGGUCCUUUGUGGUAUAGUACACACCUCUCCAGACGGUGAACAAUUCUCUCCCAACAGAUUGAACAUCGGGUUAUGUCUUCGUCUCCGUCUGAUUCAGUUAUUUCUAUCCUAACUUUU